rnacentral:snoRNA from 1 species
UGCCUUUGUGUUGCCCAUUCAUUCACUUCCAGAGCGAAUGGGGUGUCAGAAAAGGCAAACAGAAAUUCUUGCGGAAACUCCUUAAGGAGAUGGUUGUUUACCUUUCUCCUCCCGGGUUUUGCAGGAACAAGA